GGUGCUUUUGUAGCAAUACGAGAGUUAUCCUAGUGGCGAACGGGUGAGUAACGCGUUGGUGACCUGCCCCAAAGUGUGGGAUAACAGUCCGAAAGGAUUGCUAAUACCUCAUGUGGUCAUUGGAUUUAGAAACCGAUGUCUAAAGGAGCAAUCCGCUUUGGGAGGGACCUGCGUCCCAUCAGCUAGUUGGUGAGGUAAUGGCUCACCAAGGCGACGACGGGUAGGGGACCUGAGAGGGUGACCCCCCACAAUGGAACUGAAACACGGUCCAUACACCUACGGGUGGCAGCAGUAGGGAAUAUUGCUCAAUGGGCGAAAGCCUGAAGCAGCAACGCCGCGUGCGUGAUGAAGGUCUUCGGAUCGUAAAGCGCUUUUCUGAGAGAUGAGAAAGGACAGUAUCUCAGGAAUAAGUCUCGGCUAACUACGUGCCAGCAGCCGCGGUAAAACGUAGGAGGCAAGCGUUAUCCGGAUUCACUGGGCGUAAAGCGCGUGCAGGUGGCGCGGUAAGUUGGAUGUGAAAUCUCCCGGCUCAACUGGGAGAGGUCAUUCAAUACUACCGUGCUUGAGAGCAGAAGAGGAAGAUGGAAUUCCCGGUGUAGUGGUGAAAUGCGUAGAUAUCGGGAGGAACACCAGUGGCGAAGGCGAUCUUCUGGUCUGUUUCUGACACUCAGACGCGACAGCUAGGGUAGUAAACGGGAUUAGAGACCCCGGUAAUCCUAGCCGUAAACGAUGUGAACUUGGCGUUGGUGGGUUAAACUCCAUCAGUGCCGCANCAAACGCGAUAAGUUCACCGCCUGGGGACUACGGCCGC
rnacentral:rRNA from 1 species